GACGAACGCUGGCGGCGUGCUUAACACAUGCAAGUCGAACGAAGUGACGAACGGGUGAGUAACGCGUAAUCAACCUGCCCUUCAGAGGGGGACAACAGUUGGAAACGACUGCUAAUACCGCAUACGGAAGGAGGGGAGUGCGUCUGAUUAGCUAGUUGGGGGGGUAACGGCCCACCAAGGCGAUGAUCAGUCGCCGGUCUGGGAGGAUUAACGGCCACAUUGGGACUGAGACACGGCCCAGACUCCUACGGGAGGCAGCAGUGGGGAAUCUUCCGAAAUGGACGAAAGUCUGACGGAGCAACGCCGCGUUAGUGAUGACGGCCUUCGGGUUUGAAAGCUCUGUUAAUCGGGACGCGGUACCGAAAUAGAAAGCCACGGCUAACUACGUGCCAGCAGCCGCGGUAAUAC
rnacentral:rRNA from 1 species